GCACCUAUAGCGCAGCGGUAGUCGCGUUUCCUUGACAUGGAAAAGGUCCCAGGUUCGAUCCCUGGUGGGUGCACCA
rnacentral:tRNA from 1 species